UACGAAGGGUGCAAGCGUGGCUCGGAAUUAUUGGGCGUAAAGUGCACGUAGGCGGGCGCGUAAGUCGGUUGUGAAAGCCCUGGGCUCAACCCGGGAAUUGCAGUCGAUACUGCGUGUCUUGAGUGCUCGAGAGGAUGGCGGAAUUCCUGGUGUAGAAGUGAAAUUCGUAGAUAUCAGGAGGAACACCGGAGGCGAAGGCGGCUAUCUGGCGAAACACUGACGCUGAGGUGCGAAAGCGUGGGGAUCAAACAGG
rnacentral:rRNA from 1 species